rnacentral:rRNA from 1 species
UACGGAGGGUGCUAGCGUUGUUCGGAAUCACUGGGCGUAAAGGGCGCGUAGGCGGCCUUCUAAGUCGGACGUGAAAUCCCUCGGCUUAACCGAGGAACUGCGUCCGAUACUGAAAGGCUUGAAUCCGGGAGAGGGAUGUGGAAUUCCAGGUGUAGCGGUGAAAUGCGUAGAUAUCUGGAGGAACACCGGUGGCGAAGGCGGCAUCCUGGACCGGCAUUGACGCUGAGGCGCGAAAGCUAGGGGAGCAAACGGG